UGCAGCUAACGCAUUAAGCACUCCGCCUGGGGAGUACGGUCGCAAGACUGAAACUCAAAGGAAUUGACGGGGGCCCGCACAAGCGGGGGAGCAUGUGGUUUAAUUCGAAGCAACGCGAAGAACCUUACCAGGUCUUGACAUCCUCUGACAACCCUAAAGAUAGGGCUUUCCCUUCGGGGACAGAGUGACAGGUGGUGCAUGGUUGUCGUCAGCUCGUGUCGUGAGAUGUUGGGUUAAGUCCCGCAACGAGCGCAACCCUUGAUCUUAGUUGCCAGCAUUCAGUUGGGCACUCUAAGGUGACUGCCGGUGACAAACCGGAGGAAGGUGGGGAUGACGUCAAAUCAUCAUGCCCCUUAUGACCUGGGCUACACACGUGCUACAAUGGACAGAACAAAGGGCUGCAAGACCGCAAGGUUUAGCCAAUCCCAUAAAUCUGUUCUCAGUUCGGAUCGCAGUCUGCAACUCGACUGCGUGAAGCUGGAAUCGCUAGUAAUCGCGGAUCAGCAUGCCGCGGUGAAUACGUUCCCGGGCCUUGUACACACCGCCCGUCACACCACGAGAGUUUGCAACACCCGAAGUCGGUGAGGUAACCUUUAUGGA
rnacentral:rRNA from 1 species